GGACGAACGCUGGCGGCGUGCCUAACACAUGCAAGUCGAGCGGGGGACAUGCGACGGAAUUGAAGUUUUCGGAUGGAUAUGAAGAUGUAUGUUCUAGCGGCGGACGGGUGAGUAACGCGUGAGCAACCUGUCCCUUACAGGGGGAUAACACAGCGAAAGUUGUACUAAUACCGCAUAAGACCACAGGGAGACAUCUUCCGGGGGUCAAAGGAGCAAUCCGGUAAGGGGUGGGCUCGCGUCCGAUUAGAUAGUUGGUGAGGUAACGGCCCACCAAGUCGACGAUCGGUAGCCGACCUGAGAGGGUGAUCGGCCACAUUGGGACUGAGACACGGCCCAAACUCCUACGGGAGGCAGCAGUGGGGAAUAUUGGGCAAAUGGGGGAAACCCUGACCCAGCAACGCCGCGUGAGGGAAGAAGGUUUUCGGAUCGUAAACCUCUGUCCUUGGUGAAGAGGAAGAGACGGUAGCCAAGGAGGAAGCCCCGGCUAACUACGUGCCAGCCGCCGC
rnacentral:rRNA from 1 species